GAUGAACGCUAGCUACAGGCUUAACACAUGCAAGUCGAGGGGCAGCAUUUUAGUUUGCUUGCAAACUGAAGAUGGCGACGGGCGCACGGGUGAGUAACACGUAUCCAACCUGCCGAUAACUCCGGAAUAGCCUUUCGAAAGAAAGAUUAAUACCGGAUGGCAUACGAAUAUCGCAUGAUAUUUUUAUUAAAGAAUUUCGGUUAUCGAUGGGGAUGCGUUCCAUUAGUUUGUUGGCGGGGUAACGGCCCACCAAGACAACGAUGGAUAGGGGUUCUGAGAGGAAGGUCCCCCACAUUGGAACUGAGACACGGUCCAAACUCCUACGGGAGGCAGCAGUGAGGAAUAUUGGUCAAUGGGCGAGAGCCUGAACCAGCCAAGUAGCGUGAAGGAUGAAGGCUCUAUGGGUCGUAAACUUCUUUUAUAUGGGAAUAAAGUAUUCCACGUGUGGAAUUUUGUAUGUACCAUAUGAAUAAGGAUCGGCUAACUCCGUGCCAGCAGCCGCGGUAAUACGGAGGAUCCGAGCGUUAUCCGGAUUUAUUGGGUUUAAAGGGAGCGUAGGUGGAUUGUUAAGUCAGUUGUGAAAGUUUGCGGCUCAACCGUAAAAUUGCAGUUGAAACUGGCAGUCUUGAGUACAGUAGAGGUGGGCGGAAUUCGUGGUGUAGCGGUGAAAUGCUUAGAUAUCACGAAGAACUCCGAUUGCGAAGGCAGCUCACUAGACUGUCACUGACACUGAUGCUCGAAAGUGUGGGUAUCAAACAGGAUUAGAUACCCUGGUAGUCCACACAGUAAACGAUGAAUACUCGCUGUUUGCGAUAUACAGUAAGCGGCCAAGCGAAAGCAUUAAGUAUUCCACCUGGGGAGUACGCCGGCAACGGUGAAACUCAAAGGAAUUGACGGGGGCCCGCACAAGCGGAGGAACAUGUGGUUUAAUUCGAUGAUACGCGAGGAACCUUACCCGGGCUUAAAUUGCAACAGAAUAUAUUGGAAACAGUAUAGCCGUAAGGCUGUUGUGAAGGUGCUGCAUGGUUGUCGUCAGCUCGUGCCGUGAGGUGUCGGCUUAAGUGCCAUAACGAGCGCAACCCUUAUCUUUAGUUACUAACAGGUCAUGCUGAGGACUCUAGAGAGACUGCCGUCGUAAGAUGUGAGGAAGGUGGGGGUGACGUCAAAUCAGCACGGCCCUUACGUCCGGGGCUACACACGUGUUACAAUGGGGGGUACAGAAGGCGGCUACCUGGUGACAGGAUGCUAAUCCCAAAAACCUCU
rnacentral:rRNA from 1 species